CCUAUAUGAUGAAACUCUUUAACCUGACCAUCUGUGGAGGGUAAAAUCUGAUUUAAUGAGACUGAUAG
rnacentral:snoRNA from 1 species